GCGUAACUGGUAUUUAUUUAAUCGACACAGAAAGGACGAAAGGUAAUGUCGACCUCGGCGGAAUUUGAACUCAGAACGUAGCGACAGACGAAAUACUGCUAAGCAUUCCGCCCGGCAUGCCAGCGUGUCUGCCAGCUAAAAGGCUGCCUUAUAUAUGUAUAUAUAUAU